rnacentral:lncRNA from 1 species
CUAAUAAAAAGUAAAAUAAAAAACAAACAAAAAAACGACCCCGAGGAAAUAGUGAAACGGAAAGUCCUUAAUUUAACUGCAAAAUCAAACAAAUGAAUAACAACUGUUAUAUUACGAAUUGGUACAGGCAUUUUCUUAUGUAGAAAAUGUUGGAUUGGACCUGGUUUUAUGGCUAGUCAAACCUUUCACUUCUAUGACAGUUGCAGAAAAUUCCCCGA